UUGAGCCGAGCUGCUGAGUUCACGGAUACCACUGUUAUUUAUUCUCCGGUUAAAUGUCAAUCCACAAGGAAGCCUGCGGCUUGACCAGCAGGAGUCAGUCUCCAAAACCAGGUCCCAAAACAGGACCCGCCUGCUGGGCCCUGGUGCUCCUGCCGUGCAGCACUGAGUGGCCAGCAUUGCUCCCACAGUCCAGAGUCUGGGACCCUUAGAAAGCACUUAGUAUGGUACUUUCCCGUUUUUUAAAAAAGCUACUAAAUAGUUAAAUGACUCCCAGUUAAAUGACUCUCAAUCAUUCAAAAAUACGAUUCAGUUAUUGAGAAGCAGAAACAGGAAUGCUACCAUCCAGUCUCCACUUACUUCGGUAAAAUCGAUUAGGACUUGGGAGAGGAGACACGCACUGACUUUUCCCUUUGGAAACUGACGCAGGGCGACCCAGCACGAAGCGCGCUCUCCUCCAGCAAAACGUCACUCUCGCCAGGUCUCUGUCCCGUUGCUGACUUUCACCCAGUGUGGCGUGGCAAUGAGCAGCAUUAGCUUGCGGAACACAAGGACCUUCAAAGAACACCGGACCGGAAAGCUGCUGUUUGGGAUUUGGUCCCGCACGUAAUGGCGUUGGGGAGGUGAGGCCUUUGAAGAGGGGAAGCCUCGUGAGCAGUGGCUGGGUCACGGAGAUGUUUAGAUGGUGAACGGAUUAAUGUUGUCUCCUCAGACGGUGAGUUCUAGCUCUCAUGAAAAGGGUUAGUUCCCACAAAAGUGGGUGGUUGCAGAAGGCGGCUGGCCCGGGUCUCCCUCUCAGCCUUGCGUCUUCACUUCUGUGGGCGUGCGGUGAGGUACCCCAGAGGUUAGCCAGGUCCUCGCUCCAUGCCUUCGGACGUUCCAUCACCAGAACCGGCAAGAAAAUAAACCUCUACUCUUUGUUGUUGCUGCUGUUGUUUUCCAUUUGCUGAAGGGCACGUGUGCUUGCCAGAGAGAGAGAAGAAAGUGUCAGAUACUUCCGUUAGCACUUCAACAGCAGACUCAGAAAGAUGUCUUCCAACUCGACUCCACCCAGUGAAACUGCCAGAAUGAACCCUUACACUUACCGUAGUCCUUUUCCUUCCUAACCUUCUGCUCAGACCACCCUUAAUUUAAGAACAUGGAAAUCUCUCCCUGUUGUAUGUUAUU